GCUAAUAUAGUUUAAUAGGUAAAAUUGCUAAUUUGUAAUUAGUCGGAUAAGAGUUCGAACCUCCUUAUUAGCU
rnacentral:tRNA from 1 species